AUACGGAGGGUGCAAGCGUUACUCGGAAUCACUGGGCGUAAAGCGCGCGCAGGCGGUCUUUUAAGUUGGAUGUGAAAGCCUACGGCUCAACCGUAGAACUGCAUCCAAAACUAUUAGACUAGAGUGUGGGAGAGGAAGAUGGAAUUAGUUGUGUAGGAGUAAAAUCCGUAGAGAUAACUAGGAAUACCAAAAGCGAAGGCAAUCUUCUGGAACACUACUGACGCUGAGGCGCGAAAGCGUGGGGAGCAAACAGGAUUAGAAACCCCAGUAGUCC
rnacentral:rRNA from 1 species